GAGGGUUUAGCUUAAUAUAAAGUGUCUGUUUUGCAUGCAGAAGAUGUAGAUUGAAGUUCUGCAGUCCUUA
rnacentral:tRNA from 1 species